GACGAACGCUGGCGGCGUGCCUAAUACAUGCAAGUAGAACGCACAGUUUAUACCGUAGCUUGCUACACCAUAGACUGUGAGUUGCGAACGGGUGAGUAACGCGUAGGUAACCUGCCUGGUAGCGGGGGAUAACUAUUGGAAACGAUAGCUAAUACCGCAUAAUAUUGAUUAUUGCAUGAUAAUUAAUUGAAAGGUGCAAUUGCACCACUACCAGAUGGACCUGCGUUGUAUUAGCUAGUAGGUGAGGUAACGGCUCGCCUAGGCGACGAUACAUAGCCGACCUGAGAGGGUGAUCGGCCACACUGGGACUGAGACACGGCCCAGACUCCUACGGGAGGCAGCAGUAGGGAAUCUUCGGCAAUGGACGAAAGUCUGACCGAGCAACGCCGCGUGAGUGAAGAAGGUUUUCGGAUCGUAAAGCUCUGUUGUAAGAGAAGAACGGGUGUGAGAGUGGAAAGUUCACACUGUGACGGUAUCUUACCAGAAAGGGACGGCUAACUACGU
rnacentral:rRNA from 1 species